GAAAUGCGAUACGUAAUGUGAAUUGCAAAUUCAGUGAAUCAUCGAGUCUUUGAACGCACAUUGCGCCCCCUGGUAUUCCGGGGGGCAUGCCUGUCCGAGUGUCAUUUCUGCCCUCAAGCACGGCUUGUGUGUUGGGCCCCGUCCUCCGAUCCCGGGGGACGGGCCCGAAAGGCAGCGGCGGCACCGCGUCCGGUCCUCGAGCGUAUGGGGCUUUGUCACCCGCUCUGUAGGCCCGGCCGGCGCUUGCCGAUCAACCCAAAUUUUUAUCCAGGUUGACCUCGGAUCAGGUAGGGAUACCCGCUGAACUUAAGC
rnacentral:misc_RNA from 1 species